rnacentral:lncRNA from 1 species
UAUAUCCAUAUUUCUCCCAUUCACUUUCUUUAUCAAACUGUUGUUUAAGUAAAGAUCGGAGGGAGGAUGACAAAAACGAAAUACACAAAUUAUUGAUUGUAUGCUUUCAAAGAAAACAAUGUGGAUGAUGUAAUGCAUUGUUUCAAAUCCUCAAUUAAUUAAGAGAUAAGGAGUUAAUCCCUAGUUAACCACUUUGAGCCUAGAAGUUGGUGUUUCAUUCGAAAUUGAAAACCCUUACGCUUAACCUGAUGCAUGGU